rnacentral:rRNA from 1 species
CCCUUAGAUGUCUUGGGCCGCACGCGCGCUACACUGAUGCAUUCAACGAGUAUUUCCUUGGCCGAGAGGCCUGGGCAAUCUUUUAAACCUGCAUCGUGAUAGGGAUAGAUUAUUGCAAUUAUUAAUCUUGAACGAGGAAUUCCUAGUAAACGCAAAUCAUCAAUUUGCAUUGAUUACGUCCCUGCCCUUUGUACACACCGCCCGUCGCACCUACCGAUUGAAUGGUCCGGUGAAAUCUCGGGAUUGUGGCCAGUUCACUUUAUUGGGAGUUGGCUGCGAGAACUUGCUUAAACCUUAUCAUUUAGAGGAAGGUGAAGUCGUAACA